rnacentral:tRNA from 1 species
GCAGGCGUGGCGGAACUGGUAUACGCGCUAGCCUUAGGAGCUAGUGGAAUAAUCUAUGAGAGUUCAAAUCUCUCCGCCUGCACCA